AAUAGAAUACGCCUCUUCUUCUUCGUGUUAAAAUCUCUCUUCUUCGUGCUAGCUCUUCCUCUUCCAUAAUCAAUGAUUCUUGCGAUCUCGGUGACCUGAUGUAUGCGUAUGUAACUCUUCCCCUUCGUUUCGUUUUAGUGUAACUUCAGAAGAUUAGGGUUUCUCAGAUUUUUCGGGAAAAAUUGCAGAGAAACUGGGCUGCGGCUUCUGAGAACGAUUUCCCUCGUUUAUGCAUCUCUUCUUUUUCUUCCAUAAGAAUUCUCACGAUCUCGGUAACUCUUCUCCUUCGUUUCGUUUUUGAUUAGGGGAUUUUUGGCACAAGUCGGGAGAAAAUUGCAGAGAAAUGGGGCUGGGUUAUGCUUCCUGCUCCCCGCUUUGCCUCGUUUAUGUAGUUCUUCUGGGCACGUCUUCUGCUCCCGUAACCCCUGAAUUGGUUACACAAUUAAUUGUGGGUUUUCUUUCUUCCUGUUUCAGAACCUGCAAAUUUCCUGGAUUUGAGCCUAGCGGUUCAACUACAUGCUUUAACUUGUACCACCCAUAAGCUCUACACUAUAAUGCCAAAGGCACAUGAUUUCUAUAAGCUAAGAUUUAUCUCUCUCUACUGGUCGAUUAUCCAUAAAAAAAGCCUCUAAGCCUUACGUACUUCUUCCAAUGCCAUCUUCAUGAUGCAUCGAGAAGCUCAUAACCUAUGAGCUUACAACGCUCAAAUGCCAUAUGAUUUCUAUAAGCUAAGUUCAGAAAUGCGGUUGAGCCUUAAUGAUGAAGCAGCCAUUUUGAGCCUUAAUUUCAUCAACGAAUGUACUAAGCUCUGUCUCACUUUCUAUUUCUUUAACAUACACAUAGUCUAACUACCUAGUAAAACAUCUAUAUAUCUAAUAUAUCAACACAGAUUAACGUUUAUAUGUUUUGUUUGCCAUGUGCUCUGCCCCUCUAACACUCUUUUACAUUUUCAUGUGAUCGUACCAUAAUUGGAUUUUUGUGGAAGUUGUUUCCCAUA